UUGGGUGUUGGGUAUUUUGUCUCAGCAAUGAGAAAAUUAACUGAGACAUUUAUUCACCAUCACUUAAUAAAAUAUGUUGAGACUGUUGGCUUUGAAAUAUCAAGUUUCUUCUCUCCUGUUUCCUUUUCAGUUUUGCCAUCUGUGCAGAGGUUACAGAACUCCUCAACCUUCUCACAGGGCUCCCUCUGCAAACCACUGGCUUCUAAAGAGAUGAUUACAGCUGGUGCUGGCUGUGCACUCCUGAGGAAGAAUUAUUACACCCACUGCAUGGACCGUGCACCUGUGGGGCCAGUAGGACUUCUGGGCAGAGGAGCAGGUGUGGACUCUGAAAGAAGCUUGACUCUGAGUAUGAAGCUGCAGGUACAAGAUUUGAAAGAAUAGUCCCAUUUGUGAAGAUCAGAAUGAGUGGAAUCAUCAUUAAAGGAUAUAAUAUACUUUAAUCUAUAAAAUUAAGAUUCAUUUUCAUAAUUCUUAUGAUGGCAAGAGUGAAUACUUGUUUCUGGAAAAUACACAGCUGACUGCGGAAUACAAUUAUAGUUUCAAGAGAUUAUAAAUAGUGAGACUAAGGAAAUUAUUGACAUAAGAAAUAAACUUUAUGGUAAAUAGAAUUAAUGAGUAAGUAUGGGCAGUAAAAGUACAGCUAUGAAGGUACAUGAAAAUUAUGCUUGAGUAAAUACCAAAUAGUUUCUCUAGUGUGAGAAACUGAAAGUGUAAAUAAGGACUAAAAAGGUAUAAUAGAUAAUGUGAAAUAGGAAGAAAAGGGGCAAAGGAGAAGGGGAAGUGGAAGGGGUAGGGGAAAGAAAAGAAGGGGAUGGAAUUGAUAGGAGAAAAUGAAAAAAUGGAAACAAAGUCUUUGUAAAUAGGGAGGGAUGGAAGGGUUGAAGGGAGGGCAGGGGAAGGGGGAAAAAAUAAGAACCAAGAGAGAUUAUGUAAAGGUGCAAAUUCCCAAUGAUGAAUCUCAUUAUAUUGUAUAACUAAAAUCUACCAAUGAAAUAAAACUUUAAAAAAAGAAAAUUAUGCUUGAGUAAAUGAGCUCCCCAAGUUGCCAUGCGAUGUCCACAGUGAAAGGAAUAGAAAAAUGACAUGAGGAUACUGAUGAGAUGUAAUUAACUGAUCAACUAAAAUCUUCGUAUUUAUUUUUACAAUUAAAAUAAGGCUUCAAGAAUUUUUCUAUUAUCCUGUAUUAAAUUCAUAGUUGUUUCGGU
rnacentral:lncRNA from 1 species